CCUACGGGAGGCAGCAGUGGGGAAUAUUGCACAAUGGGGGAAACCCUGAUGCAGCGACGCCGCGUGAGUGAAGAAGUAUUUCGGUAUGUAAAGCUCUAUCAGCAGGGAAGAAAAUGACGGUACCUGAGUAAGAAGCCCCGGCUAACUACGUGCCAGCAGCCGCGGUAAUACGUAGGGGGCAAGCGUUAUCCGGAUUGACUGGGUGUAAAGGGAGCGUAGACGGCAGCGCAAGUCUGAAGUUAAUGCCGGGGCUUAACCCCGGAACUGCUUUUGAAACUGUGCAGCUAGAGUGCAGGAGAGGUAAGUGGAAUUCCUAGUGUAGCGGUGAAAUGCGUAGAUAUUAGGCGGACCCCCAGUGGCGAAGGCGGCUUACUGGACUGUACCUGACGUUGAGGCUCGAAAGCGUGGGGAGCACACAGGAUUAGAUACCCGAGUAGUC
rnacentral:rRNA from 1 species